rnacentral:rRNA from 1 species
GAUGAACGCUGGCGGCGUGCCUAAUACAUGCAAGUCGAGCGAACGGACGAGAAGCUUGCUUCUCUGAUGUUAGCGGCGGACGGGUGAGUAACACGUGGAUAACCUACCUAUAAGACUGGGAUAACUUCGGGAAACCGUAGCUAAUACCGGAUAAUAUUUUGAACCGCAUGGUUCAAAAGUGAAAGACGGUCUUGCUGUCACUUAUAGAUGGAUCCGCGCUGCAUUAGCUAGUUGGUAAGGUAACGGCUUACCAAGGCAACGAUGCAUAGCCGACCUGAGAGGGUGAUCGGCCACACUGGAACUGAGACACGGUCCAGACUCCUACGGGAGGCAGCAGUAGGGAAUCUUCCGCAAUGGGCGAAAGCCUGACGGAGCAACGCCGCGUGAGUGAUGAAGGUCUUCGGAUCGUAAAACUCUGUUAUUAGGGAAGAACAUAUGUGUAAGUAACUGUGCACAUCUUGACGGUACCUAAUCAGAAAGCCACGGCUACUACGUG